GUGCUCGCUUCAGCAGCACAUAUACUAAAAUUGGAACGACACAGAAAAGAUUAACACUGUCCCUGCGCAAGGAUGACACGCAAACUCACGAAGCAUUCCAUAUUUUU
ensembl:snRNA LOC120096744 U6 spliceosomal RNA